rnacentral:rRNA from 1 species
GACGAACGCUGGCGGCGUGCUUAACACAUGCAAGUCGAACGGAAAGGCCCUGCUUUUGUGGGGUGCUCGAGUGGCGAACGGGUGAGUAACACGUGAGUAACCUGCCCUUGACUUUGGGAUAACUUCAGGAAACUGGGGCUAAUACCGGAUAGGAGCUCCUGCUGCAUGGUGGGGGUUGGAAAGUUUCGGCGGUUGGAGAUGGACUCGCGGCUUAUCAGCUUGUUGGUGGGGUAGUGGCUUACCAAGGCUUUGACGGGUAGCCGGCCUGAGAGGGUGACCGGCCACAUUGGGACUGAGGUACGGCCCAGACUCCUACGGGAGACAGCAGUGGGGAAUAUUGCACAAUGGGCGGAAGCCUGAUGCAGCAACGCCGCGUGCGGGAUGACGGCCUUCGGGUUGUAAACCGCUUUCGCCUGUGACGAAGCGUGAGUGACGGUAACGGGUAAAGAAGCACCGGCUAACUACGUG